GCCAGCAUGGCACAGUGGUCUGAACAUCGGACUACAACUCCGGAGACCAGGGUUCAAUUCCCGACUCAGCUA